AGGACCAAGUGUUUACCCACGAUAUCAUGGAGAAAGGCAUCAGGCUCCAUUGCCAAAAAACGGACAGGGGGGCCCAAUGCUCUGGGGCCCAAUGCUCUGGGGCCCACGACCACAAAUAUACAGGGCACUGGAGGAACCCAGCAACACCAUGGAGGAACCCAGCAACACCAACAGGGUAGUGCCCAGGGCACAUUAUCCAUCAGAUCUCUCAUCAGACAAACCAGAGGGAGCGCAGGGUUGGACAUCUGCGCCUCUGCCAGAGCAGUACUAACUCCAGAGAUGGGAGUUCAAAUCAUUCCCACAGGGGUAAAAGGACCUCUUCCCCAAGGAACAGUAGGCUUAUUAUUGGGACGCA
rnacentral:lncRNA from 1 species